AGAGUUUGAUCCUGGCUCAGGAUGAACGCUGGCGGCGUGCCUAACACAUGCAAGUCGAACGAAGAGGCCCCUUCGGGGGUGCUUCAGUGGCGGACGGGUGAGUAACACGUAGGUGACCUGCCCCGAAGCAGGGGAUAACGGCUCGAAAGGGCCGCUAAUACCCAAAAGGAUCGCGAGUCGCAUCGUGAUCAGAGUUACGGCGUUUCGGGAGGGGCCUGCGGCCCAUCAGCUAGUUGGCAGGGUAAUGGCCUACCAAGGCAACGACGGGUAGGGGACCUGAGAGGGUGACCCCCCACAUUGGCACUGACACACGGGCCAAACUCCUACGGGAGGCAGCAGUGAGGAAUAUUGCACAAUGAGCGAAAGCUAGAUGCAGCAACGCCGCGUGGACGAUGAAGGCCUUCGGGUCGUAAAGUCCUUUUCAGGGGGACGAGUGAGGACGGUACCUCUGGAAUAAGUCACGGCUAACUACGUGCCAGCAGCCGCGGUAAAACGUAGGUGGCGAGCGUUACCCGGAUUCACUGGGCGUAAAGCGCCUGCAGGCGGUCUUGUAAGUGGGAUGUGAAAUCUCCUGGCUUAACUGGGAGGGGCCAUUCCAUACUGCGAGACUUGAGGGCAGAAGAGGGAAGUGGAAUUCCCGGUGUAGUGGUGAAAUGCGUAGAUAUCGGGAGGAACACCAGUGGCGAAGGCGACUGCCUGGUCUGCUCCUAACGCUAAGAGGCGAAAGCUAGGGGAGCGAACGGGAUUAGAAACCCCGGUAGUCCUAGCUAUAAACGAUGGAUACUAGGUGUUGGUGGUCCUAACCCCAUCAGUGCCGAAGCUAACGCGUUAAGUAUCCCGCCUGGGGACUACGGCCGCAAGGUUAAAACUCAAAGGAAUUGACGG
rnacentral:rRNA from 1 species